UGAGAUAAAUGCAUGCUGCGUAUGCAGAC
rnacentral:sRNA from 1 species